rnacentral:rRNA from 1 species
AUUGAACGCUGGCGGCAGGCCUAACACAUGCAAGUCGAGCGAGCGGCGGACGGGUGAGUAAUGUAUGGGGACUGCCCGAUCGAGGGGGAUAACUACUGGAAACGGUGGCUAAUACCGCAUACUAUAGGAAAACCCAUAUGGGAUUAGCUAGUGUGUGGGGUAAAGGAUCACCUAGGCGACCAUCUCUAGCUGGUCUGAGAGGAUGAUCAUCCAGACUGUGAAUGAGACACGGCCCAGACUCCUAUGGAGGCAGCAGUGGCGAAUAUGGCACAAUGGGCGCAAGCCUGAUGCAGCAAUGCCGCGAGUAUGAAGAAGGCCUGAGGGGUGUAAAGUACUUGCAGCUGGGAGGCGUUACCCGCAGAAGAAGCACCGGCUAACUCCGUGCCAGCAGCCGCGGUAAUUC